rnacentral:rRNA from 1 species
UACGUAGGGGCCGAGCGUUGUCCGGAGUUAUUGGGCGUAAAGCGCGCGCAGGCGGCUUGACGCGCCCGACGUGAAAGCCCCCGGCUUAACCGGGGAGGGUCGUCGGGUACGGUCAGGCUUGAGGGCGGGAGAGGGUGGUGGAAUUCCCGGUGUAGUGGUGAAAUGCGUAGAGAUCGGGAGGAACACCUGUGGCGAAGGCGGCCACCUGGGCCGACCCUGACGCUGAGGCGCGAAGGCGUGGGGAGCGAACGGG